AUUUGUUCGGGGUUUUUGACAUAACAGUGAUGAUCGCCGAAAUCCAGCUAAAGCCACGCCGGUUCACCCUAGAAAGACUAUCCAGAUAAGAGUGAUGUGUUCGUGUGCCGGGAGAAUCAAUAUUGCAGGAUUAUAGGACAAUACAAGUAGAAGUUUCUGAUAGAAAUGGACAUGGGGGAAUGUGAAUGUCCUAGUUAGCUAGUUUUCUUCUUUGUAAAGAUCAGAUGGCAUGAUUAUUUUGAAGGUUAGAUGGCAGUUGGCCUGGGUAAUUUUGUAGAUGGCUCUGCAGUUCUUGCUCAAAGAUUAUCUACAGCAAACUGUCCAAUGCAGUUUAUGUUCAAUCAGUUCAUUUGCGCAAUUUGCAGGAUUGAGAUGAAACCCGGUGAAGGAACAUUCAUAAAUAAUGUUUUGCAGGAAGACUUUACUAAAUGUCACAUCCAUUCACAACUGAGUUCCGUUAUAGAGAGCAAGAAUUCCACAUGACAUGAGUUCUAGGGUGCAAAGGCGAGAUGAUAUAUGGGUGGCAAUGUUGUUGAGUGUGUAUCUUCGUUGUGUUCUCUUCGAAUCAUAUUUGUAUCAAUUCCUUUGGACAUAUAUUGUCUUGACAAGCUUGUGCCAGUUACACUUUUACCCAUUUCUGUGGUGGUAUUUUAUUAUUCUCCUAUUGAACUAUGACUUAAAAUUUUUUUCCCUAAAAUGUCCAUGGAACACAGAACAUACUGAUCAAGAAUUGCUUAAUAUCUUCUAAUAUACAUAGGCAUGUUGGUAAUUUUCAACUAGUCUUAACUUGCAUCUUUUCAUGUGCAGGUUGAUGCAGCUGUUGUUAGAUUUAAACUUAAGUUAAUUUCAGAUUAUCCACCAGUAAUAUUCGCCAAAAGCUUCUUUUCAAUGGUGAGUUUGCAAUUUAGAUUGAGUUAUUUAUCAUCUCAGUUAAAUACUAAGAUGAUAGGAUAAAAAGAAGACACUUGAAAACCUCAUGGCACUUAUCCUUGCCUAGAUUUUAAUUAGUGCUAUUGCUUAAGUUUUCUUCUCAAAUUAAAAAGCAUUCAAUAAACAUGAAAGUGGGUCAAACUUUAAGUUGUCAUCUAUGUGCUAAUUAAUUAAUACAUUGUUCUUUGGGAUUUGGUGAAUACACAAUGAGUUUCAUUUUUCUCCAAUGUGAUUUAAAGGUAAAUCCCUGCUUGGUCUAAUGGCUUUCAUGAUGUUGUUGAUUGUUAAUGCUCCUGAUUGAUAAAGAUUUUCGGUUCUUUAAAGGUUCAACAUUAUUGGUUUUUAUGUUCUAAUUUUGAAUUGAUUCUUGAAUGGGACAACCGAUAGUUUUUAUAAGUCAGCAUGACCUAUGAGAGUUUAUCUUAUGAUAUCAUGAUCAUUCAGAUCAUUCAGAUCAAAUCAGGUAAAUAAUGAGAAAUUAAAAAUAGAUUGACAUACC